AGCAUGUCUGUUCUGAGUGUUGGUU
rnacentral:rRNA from 2 species